UACGUAGGUGGCAAGCGUUGUCCGGAAUUAUUGGGCGUAAAGCGCGCGCAGGUGGUUUCUUAAGUCUGAUGUGAAAGCCCACGGCUCAACCGUGGAGGGUCAUUGGAAACUGGGGAACUUGAGUGCAGAAGAGGAAAGUGGAAUUCCAAGUGUAGCGGUGAAAUGCGUAGAGAUUUGGAGGAACACCAGUGGCGAAGGCGACUUUCUGGUCUGUAACUGACGCUGACACGCGAAAGCUAGGGGAGCGAACGGG
rnacentral:rRNA from 1 species